rnacentral:lncRNA from 1 species
CCCACUCCUAAUUUUCCCCUGUGAGAUCCACGCUCGAUGCCUCCACGCAAGGCGUCCACACGACGGUCCACGGCCUCCGCGGCCAGAUCUCAGGCUCCGGCCUCCCCUCCUGUUUCCCAGCCUCCUCCUCCUCCGGCGGCGGCGGUCGGCGCGGAGCAAUUUGACUUGCUGGCACAGCAGGUCAGAGGCCUCAUCGAAGCUGUGCAAGCAAUGCAGCAGCAGCA